rfam:Schistosoma rodhaini strain Burundi genome assembly, scaffold: SROB_contig0008854
UCUACAUAACUAGCCUAGGUGAAGCAACCAUAGGUGCAGAUCUUGGUGAUAGUAGCAAAUAUUCAACUGAGAAACUUAAAGGCUGAGGUGUAGGAGGGUUCCAUGGGAACAGUAGUUGGCCAUGGGUCAGGCGGUCCUAAGUGAUUCGGUAAAUCGGAACAGAGACGGGGUGCCUGACAUUGUCCGUUCGCGGGCUUUGUUCCGUAAUCUGCAAAGUACUGUUGCAUUGCAGCCCCCUGUAGCGAAAGGAAAUCGGGUAUUAUUCCCGACCCUGUCCACAGAUACUGGUGUAUGUCGAGUCUUCGGUUCGGCGUGCACCCAGGGCGUUAGCGCAACCGACCUCGGAGACGUUGACGAGAGUUCUGGAAAGAGUUCUCUUUUCUUUGUUAGGAGUGCAUCCACCCUCUGGAAUCGGCUUGUCCGGAAAUAGGUGAUUAGCCUCCGUAAAGCACCAACCUUUUUGUGGUGUCCAGAACGCUCUUGUCGGCCCUUGAAAAUCAGAGCGAGGCAGUAUAAUUUUCUCGGCAGGCCGUACCCAUAUCCGCAGCAGGUCUCCAAGGUGAACAGCCUCUGGCAAUUAAACAAUGU